AAGUUUGAUAUAAUGAAGACAAUGGGAAAAAUUGCUCUGGUCAUGUUUCCCAGCAAUCUGAAGACAUUUGUGAUUUUAAAAAAUGUCUAUUUUAUUUUUUUUUAUCAUGAUCAUGACUCUAUGCCUUGAAAGCUGACUUCUUGAUGUCUUAUUUUGCUAGACAAUUGCCUGCUGAUUUACUAUACUGUUUUUUUUCAGGUUGACCUCUAUUAACUCAACUUUUAUUGAAACAAUAUCUGAAUGAUAUCAUACCUUUGGAGAGAGCCACACCCAUUUUAUGUAGAAUCAGCUAGAAUAAAGGAUUAGCGCAUUCAUUGGAAGUAAUCAGUAAAUUUGAUGACAAGUCAACAAUUUAAGCAGAGCAGUAUUGCAGGGAAGACCUAGAGCUGAACAAGAUGAAAUCCACGUGAAGCUCAUGGGGAGAAUUGCUCUGUAGUUGGUUGAAGUGGCAUGGUAACAACUCAACUGUGUGUAAGAAUGAAGAAUGGGCUGACCUUGGGGAAGGAGGACCUGGGAUCCAGGUGGUGUAGCUUUAUAGCUUAUCCCUAUUUAUAAAUUCUCAUUUAAAAUUAAUUAUUCUUUUAAAUAGAUAACACUGGCAUGUGGCUUAAAAAAAAACUUAAAAGGUAAAAAAGGGAUUGUCUCAUUUUUAAGUAAAAUGUCAGCAUCAAACAGACACAUUUUCAUUAAAAAUAAUAAUAAUAAUAAAUCAACUCUGUGCUCUGGACCCUAGACCGUGCUUCUAUUUAUUGAGAAGCAAAAGGCACCAGUGGUGAUAGCGAUGGGAUUUUCUUAGGACUCAGCGGGCUCCUCCACCAGGGUCUAAUUCCUUUCCCCUCAGGAAGGGCUUUCUUUGCCCAACAGCCAUGUCUGUGGACGAACAGUCCAUGUGCUGCUUCUUGGGCUCUCCUGGCUCUUGCCUUCCUGGUAGUCAUGGUGCCAGGGGGAGGGAGGGGCCCUAGAGGUAGAGGAACCUAGGAGGUCUAAGUAUCCCCAGGACUGCACCUUUCUAAGUUAAAAAAAAAAGCAUAUUAUUGCUUUACAUUUCAUCUUGAAAAACAAAUAUAGGUUUUGAAUAUGGCAAACAAUGGAAAGAAAAAAUUGAAAUUCUGUAUUUUAUAUUCAACUAGAGUUAAUUGAACUGGGCAAUGACCUUGCAAAGACCCAAGUAAGACAACAAUUUGGCAAGUAGGUGAGGUAAGGUGUUGUCUCUGGGCGAAGAGGUCAUGUAUUGAAUGACCAGAAACGACUAGACGAACUGCGUUGCCCUCAUGCUGGUAUGCAAAAAUAGUAUAUUCUAAACCUUUCCUGAUCCAACAUUGUCACCCUCAAAAAUUAAAUUUUGGUUGCUGUUUAAUUUAGAAACGGUGAGCGUUAAAUGAAUAGAGGUUACUGGUAAUCUCUUUCCAUGUUCAUUUUGGACUGGAAAAUUAUUUCACCAAAUAUUUUUCUGAGAUGCUGCUUAUAAUACAUAUUCACAAAUUUCACCAUGUGUUAUUCCAGUCAGAGACCCCGUUUGGUUAUGAAAAAAAAAAAAUCCAUGUUUUAUAUUUCCGCAGUCUAUAUAGACCUAACGUGAGGAACACCACUAUAUGUCAUAUGUAAGUUACAUCGUCUCACUGACAUUUAAAAAAAAAGAAGCUAUCUUCAUAA